CAAAAACAUGUCUAUAUGAUUGUUAUAUAAAGUCUAGCCUGCCCACUGAUUUGUUUUAAAGGGCCGCGGUAUAUUGACCGUGCGAAGGUAGCAUAAUCAUUAGUCUUUUAAUUGGAGGCUUGUAUGAAUGGUUGGACAAAAAGUAAGCUGUCUCGGUUAUAAUAAUUGAACUUAACUUUUAAGUGAAAAGGCUUAAAUGUUUCAGGGGGACGAUAAGACCCUAUAAAGCUUGACAAUAAUUUCGUUAUAUUAUAAAUUGUUAGUAUAACUUGAUUUUAACGGGAGUUUGUUUCGUUGGGGCGACGGGAAUAUAAUAAAUAACUGUUCUUUUAACUAUAAUUACAAAAAUACUUGGUAAAUAAUUGAUCCUCUAUUAGAGAUUAAAAGAUUAAGUUACUUUAGGGAUAACAGCGUAAUCUUCUUUGAGAGUCCACAUCGACAAGAAGGUUUGCGACCUCGAUGUUGAAUUAAGGUAU
rnacentral:rRNA from 1 species